rnacentral:rRNA from 1 species
GACGAACGCUGGCGGCGUGCCUAAUACAUGCAAGUAGAACGCUGAAGGAGGAGCUUGCUCUUCUGGAUGAGUUGCGAACGGGUGAGUAACGCGUAGGUAACCUGCCUGGUAGCGGGGGAUAACUAUUGGAAACGAUAGCUAAUACCGCAUAAGAGUAGAUGUUGCAUGACAUUUGCUUAAAAGGUGCAAUUGCAUCACUACCAGAUGGACCUGCGUUGUAUUAGCUAGUUGGUGGGGUAACGGCUCACCAAGGCGACGAUACAUAGCCGACCUGGGAGGGUGAUCGGCCACACUGGGACUGAGACACGGCCCAGACGCCUACGGGAGGCAGCAGUAGGGAAUCUUCGGCAAUGGACGGAAGUCUGACCGAGCAACGCCGCGUGAGUGAAGAAGGUUUUCGGAUCGUAAAGCUCUGUUGUAAGAGAAGAACGAGUGUGAGAGUGGAAAGUUCACACUGUGACGGUAGCUUACCAGAAAGGGACGGCUAACUACGUG